AGAGUUUGAUCAUGGCUCAGGACGAACGCUAGCGGCGCGCUUAACACAUGCAAGUCGAACGCGAACGGCUGACUUCGGUUGGCCUAUUAGAGUGGCGAACGGGUGAGUAACGCGUAGGUAACCUGCCCUCGAGUGGGGAAUAAGCCCGGGAAACCGGGUCUAAUACCGCAUAGUAUCUCAGAGUCGCAUGGCCCUGAGAUUAAAGCCUUCGGGCGCUUGAGGAUGGACCUGCGUCCUAUUAGCUUGUUGGUGAGGUAACGGCUCACCAAGGCAUCGAUGGGUAGCUGGUCUGAGAGGACGAUCAGCCACACUGGGACUGAGAUACGGCCCAGACUCCUACGGGAGGCAGCAGUGAGGAAUAUUGCGCAAUGGGCGAAAGCCUGACGCAGCGACGCCGCGUGAAUGAAGAAGCUCUUCGGGGUGUAAAAUUCUGUUCUGGAGGAAGAAUGCCCUGAUUUAUCAGGGAGAGACGGUACUUCAGGAGAAAGCACCGGCUAACUCCGUGCUAGCAGCCGCGGUAAUACGGAGGGUGCAAGCGUUGUCCGGAUUUACUGGGCGUAAAGGGCGUGUAGGCGGGGCGGUCAGUCGGAGGUGAAAGGUACGAGCUUAACUCGUAGANUNNCUUCGAUACUGNCGUUCUUGAGUGCAGGAGAGGGUAGUGGAAUUCCCGGUGUAGCGGUGGAAUGNNCAGAUNUCGGGAGGAACACCCGUGGCGAANNNGGCUACCUGGCCNGACACUGANGCUGAGGCGCGAAANCGUGGGGAGCAAACAGGANUANAUACCCUGGUAGUCCACGCUGUAAACGANG
rnacentral:rRNA from 1 species